GCCGCGUGUGUGAAGAAGGCCUUCGGGUUGUAAAGCACUUUUGUCCGGAAAGAAAUCCUUGGUCCUAAUAUGGCCGGGGGAUGACGGUACCGGAAGAAUAAGCACCGGCUAACUACGUGCCAGCAGCCGCGGUAAUACGUAGGGUGCAAGCGUUAAUCGGAAUUACUGGGCGUAAAGCGUGCGCAGGCGGUUUGCUAAGACCGAUGUGAAAUCCCCGGGCUCAACCUGGGAACUGCAUUGGUGACUGGCAGGCUAGAGUAUGGCAGAGGGGGGUAGAAUUCCACGUGUAGCAGUGAAAUGCGUAGAGAUGUGGAGGAAUACCGAUGGCGAAGGCAGCCCCCUGGGCCAAUACUGACGCUCAUGCACGAAAGCGUGGGGAGCAAACAGGAUUAGAUACCCUGGUAGUCCACGCCCUAAACGAUGUCAACUAGUUGUUGGGGAUUCAUUUCCUUAGUAACGUAGCUAACGCGUGAAGUUGACCGCCUGGGGAGUACGGUCGCAAGAUUAAAACUCAAAGGAAUU
rnacentral:rRNA from 1 species